rnacentral:rRNA from 1 species
UACGGAGGGAGCUAGCGUUGUUCGGAAUUACUGGGCGUAAAGCGCACGUAGGCGGCUUUGUAAGUAAGAGGUGAAAGCCCAGAGCUCAACUCUGGAAUUGCCUUUUAGACUGCAUCGCUUGAAUCAUGGAGAGGUCAGUGGAAUUCCGAGUGUAGAGGUGAAAUUCGUAGAUAUUCGGAAGAACACCAGUGGCGAAGGCGACUUACUGGACACAUAUUGACGCUGAGGUGCGAAAGCGUGGGGAGCAAACAGG